rnacentral:rRNA from 1 species
UGAGGAAUAUUGGUCAAUGGACGCAAGUCUGAACCAGCCAUGCCGCGUGCAGGAUGACGGCUCUAUGAGUUGUAAACUGCUUUUGUACGAGGGUAAUAUCGGAUACGUGUAUCUGCAUGAAAGUAUCGUACGAAUAAGGAUCGGCUAACUCCGUGCCAGCAGCCGCGGUAAUACGGAGGAUCCAAGCGUUAUCCGGAUUUAUUGGGUUUAAAGGGUGCGUAGGCGGUUUUAUAAGUUAGAGGUGAAAAUUCGGGGCUCAACUCCGGACGUGCCUCUAAUACUGUAUGACUAGAGAAUAGAUGC